GGUUGAUUAGAAUAACGGUUAGUUCACUGGGGUUUCAUCCCAGUAAAACGGGUUCAACUCCCGUAUCAACCU
rnacentral:tRNA from 1 species